GAGUCUCUGCUCCAUUUCAUUGGUUCCAUGUCUGCAUAAGGAUAUGCAAACUAUGUAAAGAUUUAAAAGGAUAAAAAAUGGUUUCAGUAAUAUAGGAACAAAAACUGAUAUUCAGUUCAUUUAACUUCAGCUACUUGAAUAUGUGUAUGAACAGCAAAGUCUGACAUUACUGGCAGGGAAGACCACUAGCCUGACUGAACAGGCAGAUAUUCCCUGAACUCAGGAAAAGGAUAAAUAAAGCUAUUUCUAGGAAUCAACUAGGGAAAGGCCUUCAAGAUCAUCAAGUCCAACCAUCACCCCAGGACUGCCAAGUCCACCACUAAAGCAAGUCACACUAUGUCCAAAUCAUAUCAUCAGUUAAUUCCUUCCAUCUGGGCCAUGAUAUGAAUAUUUUCAUUAACUCGUUUGAACUUUGGCAUAUUAAGUACACAGAAAUAGUUACAUAUUCAAUAUAAAUCCAUUUCCAAUAGCAUGAGUUAAUAAAUAACUGCUUUCCAAACUUGUUCUCAUCCAAGUUAUAUUAAGGAAGUUAAAAGAAUUCAACUUUUGCUACAAUUUACAACUGACCAUAUAUGAUCUUUGCAUUUAGUGUUAUUCAUUGCAUAUUUUUAUUAAAUAGUUUUUUGUCAGUUGCAGUAGAAUUUUAUUUCCAUUUGUAUAGUAAUCUAGGAUUAAAUAAUGCAGAUCCUUUUAAUUUUUUGCAUCACCUCCAAAGAAGGUGAUACAUGUUUCUGCAAAUCAACUCAAAUAUAAUUAAUUAUCUCCAAAACAU